rnacentral:rRNA from 1 species
CUUUAAGAUAGCAAGUAUUUAAGGGGAGUGGCGACACGGGUGAGUAACACGUAGGCAAUCUACCUUAGGACUGACACAACUCGUCGAAAGACGGGCUAAUAUCAGAUAAUGCAGCGGCUCCGCAUGGAGACAGUUGUUAAAGUACAAGCGCCUGAAGAUGAGCCUGCGGUCCAUUAGCUAGUUGGUAGAGUAACGGCCUACCAAGGCAACGAUGGAUAGCUGGUCUGAGAGGAUGAUCAGCCACACUGGAACUGAGACACGGUCCAGACUCCUACGGGAGGCAGCAGUAAGGAAUAUUGCUCAAUGGCCGAAAGGCUGAAGCAGCAACGCCGCGUGAAGGAUGAAUGGCCUUUGGCCUGUAAACUUCUGUAAAAGAGGAAAAUAGUUAGGUAUAUCCUAAUGUGAUUGUACUCUUGAAGUAAGCCCCGGCUAACUACGUG